rnacentral:rRNA from 1 species
AGUGAACGCUGGCGGUAGGCCUAACACAUGCAAGCCGAACGGCAGCACAGUAAGAGCUUGCUCUUACGGGUGGCGAGUGGCGGACGGGUGAGGAAUACAUCGGAAUCUACUUUUUCGUGGGGGAUAACGUAGGGAAACUUACGCUAAUACCGCAUACGACCUACGGGUGAAAGCAGGGGAUCUUCGGACCUUGCGCGAUUGAAUGAGCCGAUGUCGGAUUAGCUAGUUGGCGGGGUAAAGGCCCACCAAGGCGACGAUCCGUAGCUGGUCUGAGAGGGUGAUCAGCCACACUGGAACUGAGACACGGUCCAGACUCCUACGGGAGGCAGCAGUGGGGAAUAUUGGACAAUGGGCGCAAGCCUGAUCCAGCCAUACCGCGUGGGUGAAGAAGGCCUUCGGGUUGUAAAGCCCUUUUGUUGGGAAAGAAAAGCAGCAGGUUAAUACCCCGCUGUUCUGACGGUACCCAAAGAAUAAGCACCGGCUAACUUCGUG